GGUAUUUGUUGGCAAUGGUCCAGACUCUAUUGCCUCCCUGCUUGUGGUAACUGCAUACCCAGCAUGUGCUCCCGCUGGGGAA